CUUUUUGUGCACAAGGAGUCUGAUCCUGCUGACCUUAUUCAGACAAAGCUCUUUUUGAUUCCAGUAGGAUUUUGCCUGAGUAGGGACUGCAGGGUUUGGCCCACAAGCAGUCGAUGCUGU
rnacentral:precursor_RNA from 15 species